rnacentral:rRNA from 1 species
AUUGAACGCUGGCGGCAGGCCUAACACAUGCAAGUCGAGCGGAUGAAGGGAGCUUGCUCCUGGAUUCGGCGGCGGACGGGUGAGUAAUGCCUAGGAAUCUGCCUGGUAGUGGGGGAUAACGUCCGGAAACGGGCGCUAAUACCGCAUACGUCCUGAGGGAGAAAGUGGGGGAUCUUCGGACCUCACGCUGUCAGAUGAGCCUAGGUCGGAUUAGCUAGUUGGUGGGGUAAAGGCCUACCAAGGCGACGAUCCGUAACUGGUCUGAGAGGAUGAUCAGUCACACUGGAACUGAGACACGGUCCAGACUCCUACGGGAGGCAGCAGUGGGGAAUAUUGGACAAAGGGCGAAAGCCUGAUCCAGCCAUGCCGCGUGUGUGAAGAAGGUCUUCGGAUUGUAAAGCACUUUAAGUUGGGAGGAAGGGCAGUAAGUUAAUACCUUGCUGUUUUGACGUUACCAACAGAAUAAGCACCGGCUAACUUCGUG